rnacentral:rRNA from 1 species
UACAGAGGUCUCAAGCGUUGUUCGGAUUCAUUGGGCGUAAAGGGUGCGUAGGUGGCGCCAUAAGUCAGGUGUGAAAUCUCGGGGCUCAACCUCGAAACUGCACUUGAUACUGCCUUGCUCGAGUACUGGAGAGGAGAUUGGAAUUUACGGUGUAGCAGUGAAAUGCGUAGAUAUCGUAAGGAAGACCAGUGGCGAAGGCGAAUCUCUGGACAGUUACUGACACUGAGGCACGAAGGCCAGGGGAGCAAACGGG